rnacentral:lncRNA from 1 species
CUACACCAACCAUGGAAAUUUUACUCCAUUUUCGCAUUUUGUCCACAUCAAUCACGUGGAGAGUUGAAUAAACCAAGCUCCAAUGUUUAUAUUUCAAACGUUCAAAUUUGAAGGACAAUUCCCGCUCAAGAAAACAACCCUAGUAUUCUUUAUAAAUACUUGCGUUUGGAGCCCAUUUCGGAGGAUUUUCUUGGCAGCCACUGCUCCCAUAACUCUUGCAGUUGUUAUUGUUCUUCCUUGCUAAAAAAAGCUAAGGAAGAAAGCCACGAGUUCUAAAUUAGGAUACAUAGCAAGGAACUCCUUUUUUCAAACGUCUUUUAAUCGUUCUCUGAGUUUCAAAAUUUUUUUGUGCGAUUUGGGUUCAAAAUCUGUAAGUUUGAGUAUGGAUUCGAGAUCUGAACGUCCCCGUUCACUGCCCCACAGCAGGUGACUUAUCUCUCUCUUUAUCUAUUUAUCGUUCUAUUUUUUGGCAUUGUUAAUGUACUACUAUUCUUAAUUCUAAACCAAUUUCUUGCCAGUAACCCCAUUUAGUCAUUUGUAGUUGUAAGUGAUGCAAACAUAUAUUGUGACCUCGCUGUAGCAAUCUUUGUUGUUUUCGAUAAAUUGUGAACAUGAAAGAUUUUUUUCGUUGGUUUUGUUUACUAUAUGGAAACGUUGGUAUAAGUUUUUAAAGAAAAAUGCCGGUUAUCUUGCUUGUUUUAGUUCUCUUCUUCCCUUUUUAAAAUAAAGAACUUCAUGCAACUGUACCUUUUCUCCCAUAAAGAAUAUAGGGCCAUAAUCACAUUUCUUUUAUUUCCCUGUGUGCAAAAUGUGAGCUUUAAGUUUCUUUUCCAACCUACUUGGCUGUGCGCAUAAGUUGUCCUCCUGAUGAAUAUUAAGUAAUCAAAUUCAAGGAAUUGUCUUGUUAAUUUCGUCAUAUAAAGUGGAGUCUAGAGAGGAUAUAGUAUGUGAGACCUCACACUUAGCGAGGCCCUUUCGGAGGAUUUAACAUUUAGCGUGAUAUCUUAUGUCGUGAUUCCCAUUCUAUGUCUUUGAUGGAAGUGGAUUGUGAAAACAUUACCUUGUUUUCUUAUUUCAUAUCGUUAUCUGUCCAUAUCUCUGCUCCUUAGAUUUCGUAUGGCAAGCAUACUUUAGUUUGUUGGCGUAACAACUUAUUAAAGCAUUUUCAGUAAUUUGUUUAUAGAUUUUUUUUUUUCUGAAGCUGUUUCCGUUGGAAUUUUUGCGAAGAACUAGUUUUACUUGUAAUGUAUUGUCGAAAGCGUAAAUGGUGUUGUGGACGAAUCGGCUGAACCUAUUAAAAUAGUGACUGCCAUUUUUUUCAUGUAACAGUGCACUUGGAAAUGUAAUAAUAUUUCAUAUGAGGUAUUAGAAGUUUACUAGCCAUGCUUAAGGUGAUAUUAUUUAUUUAGUGUCAAAGUUAGCCGCCCCCAUGAUUAAAUAAUUUUUUCUUCCUCCUAAUCAUUUUUUAGAUUAGAUACUUACACGAAAAUAGUUUCAUUUUGGAUUAACUAAUGAUCAUUUUCGUAUCUUUAUAGGGUGAGAUGUGAUAGCUCAUAUUCUAAGUUGAUGGGUUUACCGUGACCUUAUCUAUUUGGAAAUUAAUUUAUGCCUCAAGGGCAUGUAGCGUAAUGAUUUAGUUGAUUUAAUUAGGCUGGAAGUCGUGCACCGGGCUGCCCUUUUAAUUAGGCUGGAAGUCAUCUCCUUUGAUAUUUGCAUGUCUUGUAUUUGGGUACUGUGAUGCAUCGUUCCAUUUUUUGGAGAAUUGUAUUUAUCGUUCUAUUUCUUCUCGGUCUACAUAGUUCAAAUUGUCUUACUAAUUUCAUCGCUUUUCUUCACUUGCAUGAACACUUCGGGAGCAAACAAUCUUGGAGUCUCAAGGCUAGACUCUUGUACCGCCUGGAGUCUCAGAACGAGACCAACAUUAUCUUUCAUUCUAGCAAGGAGUCAUAUUUCAUAUUCUUAAGUCGAACCGGCUAGUAGUUUAGUGCUUCUUUCCCUCUUUUCAAGCUUUAUCCUUCCAUAGACACUUAUUAUUUUGUUUAAAUUUCACGUAUUGUUAUCUAAAAUUUGUGUUUUAUAUAUUGUUAUUUGGAUUAAUGUGAAUUCUUAAAUAUGAUAGCGAAUUCAUUUGUUCCCUUUUUGCCCCUCUUAGAUUUCAAAGUUAGCAUAUCAGUAGACCUAGAUAUUUAAUUUAUAUUUUUGGAAGUUUUAAAAUUUGAUAGAUCAAAACAUGCCUUUUAGAAUAAUUGGCCUUAUUUUUAGAAUAAAAAUUAGUUUCUCAUUAGUUACUAAUGUCAAAUUAAUAAAAAUAAUUUUUUGCGGUAGGGUAAAUAUUAUAGCUAGAUUCGGAAGAUCGGCUUUACUAAUUUUAGAUACGGUAGAUCAAAUUUUAUUCUUUUUU